UGGGAGCUCGGCGCAGGCCUGGCACACUGCACACUGAGGGGCUCUGUGGUCGGAAAUGCUGGGACUGCGAGAUGACCACGGGGACCCGGGAAGCGUGGCAUCUAGGAAAGACUAGGACCAGGAGGUCAAGGUCCCAUCCUUCCUGUUUGUAUCAGUCAGGCCUGGCAGGAAACAGAUGGACAGAUGGCACCUUCCCAAGGGUAACUGAGGAGAGUUUAAUGAUGGGGUGAACAUGGAGGCUUUGAGUUGAAGUGAUGGAGCUGCAAUUUGAUCUUCUGGAUUAUGUAUCACAUCUAGAAGAAGUCUGCCCCGGAGGGUGGUCUUGGACCUACAGCAAGCUUCAUGGGAGUGAAAAAUAAACUUCUGUAGUGAUUAGCCACUGAGCUUGCAGGGAUGCUUGCUACUGCAGCACAGCCUUGCUUGGACUGACUGGUACAAGCACUACCAUAUAAGAUGCUAUGUGAUUGGAGUGCCUUUAGCCGCGAGAAGCAGAAAACCCAGUAAAAGCGUCUUUGCAGAAAGGAAAGCUCCCGGAAGACUGUGUAGAGUGUACCCUUUUUGUGAGGCUCAAAAGCAGGCAAAACAAAGCAAUACGUUGUCUGGAUAUACAUUUACAUGUGAUAAAACUAUACAAACCCAUACAAGGGAAUGAGAAACACAGAAUUCAGGACCGUGCUUAUCUUAGGGGCAAAUGCAGGGAGGUGGUCAUGGGGCCAGUUCGAGAGGAGCACAUAUGGAGGAGUAAUCACUAUUGGCAAUAUUCUAGUUCUUGAGUUGAGUGAUGGGUUCAUGGGUGUUCGUUAUUUUAAUAAAUAUCCCAGUGGCAUGUCAUGAAUCAAGGCUCAUGAUUAAUCCAGUUCUGUCUACCUAAGAUCUAUUUUUAAAGGGGAACUCAAUAACAGCCAACACUUGUACACCAUUUCCUGCGUGCCAGGCACUGUUAUAAG
rnacentral:lncRNA from 10 species